CAUGCAUCCGUAUAGUGGUCACUAGAAGGACAUAUAGCACACAGUCGUGCAAGAGAUGUAGAUGAAGGUGUUGGUCUCUGGUUGGAUGCCAAUUGUGUCACCAAACUCACAAGAGAAUCAAGCUUGCUUUCCAAUUUCCUACCAGCAGCUGUUGAAGACUGGGAAAGCUCAUGAAAUUGCAGCUGCUGUGGUUCCUGGACAGGUGGAGAAGGCAUACAAGAAUUCUGGAAUGGCUCCUGAUAUUGAUGCUGUGAAGUACCAUACCAUCCCAAGUUAGGAUCAGUCCCCCUAGGAUCGUCGCUAUAACCAUACCGCACAUGGGAGAAUUUGUCUAGAAACU
rnacentral:lncRNA from 1 species